UAUACCCCGCUGAGAAAUUAAGCAUAUCAAUAAGCGGAGGAAAAGAAACUAACAAGGAUUCCCCUAGUAACUGCGAGUGAAGCGGGAAAAGCUCAAAUUUGAAAUCUGACAGUCUCUGGCUGUCCGAGUUGUAAUCUAGAGAAGUGUUACCCGCGCUGGACCGUGUACAAGUCUCCUGGAAUGGAGCGUCAUAGAGGGUGAGAAUCCCGUCUCUGACACGGACUACCAGGGCUUUGUGGUAUGCUCUCAAAGAGUCGAGUUGUUUGGGAAUGCAGCUCAAAAUGGGUGGUAAAUUCCAUCUAAAGCUAAAUAUUGGCGAGAGACCGAUAGCGAACAAGUACCGUGAGGGAAAGAUGAAAAGAACUUUGGAAAGAGAGUUAAACAGUACGUGAAAUUGCUGAAAGGGAAACGCUUGAAGUCAGUCACAUUGGCCAGGGAUCAGCUUUGCUCUUGCAUGGUGUACUUUCUGGUUGAUGGGUCAGCAUCAAUUUUGACUGCUGGAAAAAGGCUUGGGGAAUGUGGCAGCUCUGGCUGUGUUAUAGACCCUUGUCAUAUACAGCAGUUGGGAUUGAGGAACUCAGCAUGCCGCAAGGCCGGGUUUCGACCACGUUCAUGCUUAGGAUGCUGGCAUAAUGGCUUUAAGCGACCCGUCUUGAAACACGGACCAAGGAGUCUAACAUGCCUGCGAGUGUUUGGGUGGAAAACCCAAGCGCGUAAUGAAAGUGAAAGUUGAGAUCCCUGUCGUGGGGAGCAUCGACGCCCGGACCAGAACUUUUGGGACGGAUCUGCGGUAGAGCAUGUAUGUUGGGACCCGAAAGAUGGUGAACUAUGCCUGAAUAGGGUGAAGCCAGAGGAAACUCUGGUGGAGGCUCGUAGCGAUUCUGACGUGCAAAUCGAUCGUCAAAUUUGGGUAUAGGGGCGAAAGACUAAUCGAACCCAUCUUGAGCCGGUCC
rnacentral:rRNA from 1 species